rnacentral:rRNA from 1 species
AGUGAACGCUGGCGGUAGGCCUAACACAUGCAAGUCGAACGGCAGCACAGUAAGAGCUUGCUCUUACGGGUGGCGAGUGGCGGGCGGGUGAGGAAUACAUCGGAAUCUACUUUUUCGUGGGGGAUAACGUAGGGAAACUUACGCUAAUACCGCAUACGACCUACGGGUGAAAGCAGGGGAUCUUCGGACCUUGCGCGAUUGAAUGAGCCGAUGUCGGAUUAGCUAGUUGGCGGGGUAAAGGCCCACCAAGGCGACGAUCCGUAGCUGGUCUGAGAGGAUGAUCGGCCACACUGGAACUGAGACACGGUCCAGACUCCUACGGGAGGCAGCAGUGGGGAAUAUUGGACAAUGGGCGCAAGCCUGAUCCAGCCAUACCGCGUGGGUGAAGAAGGCCUUCGGGUUGUAAAGCCCUUUUGUUGGGAAAGAAAAGCAGCAGGUUAAUACCCCGCUGUUCUGACGGUACCCAAAGAAUAAGCACCGGCUAACUUCGUG